UACGGAGGGUGCAAGCGUUGUCCGGAUUUAUUGGGUUUAAAGGGUGCGUAGGCGGCCCGUUAAGUCAGUGGUGAAAGCCUCCAGCUCAACUGGAGAACUGCCAUUGAUACUGACGGGCUUGAGUACAGACGAGGUUGGCGGAAUUGAUUGUGUAGCGGUGAAAUGCAUAGAUACGAUCAAGAACUCCGAUUGCGUAGGCAGCUAACUAGGCUGUAACUGACGCUGAGGCACGAAAGCGUGGGGAGCGAACAGG
rnacentral:rRNA from 1 species